rnacentral:rRNA from 1 species
AGUGAACGCUGGCGGUAGGCCUAACACAUGCAAGUCGAACGGCAGCACAGUAAGAGCUUGCUCUUACGGGUGGCGAGUGGCGGACGGGUGAGGAAUACAUCGGAAUCUACUUUUUCGUGGGGGAUAACGUAGGGAAACUUACGCUAAUACCGCAUACGACCUACGGGUGAAAGCAGGGGAUCUUCGGACCUUGCGCGAUUGAAUGAGCCGAUGUCGGAUUAGCUAGUUGGCGGGGUAAAGGCCCACCAAGGCGACGAUCCGUAGCUGGUCUGAGAGGAUGAUCAGCCACACUGGAACUGAGACACGGCCCAGACUCCUACGGGAGGCAGCAGUGGGGAAUAUUGGACAAUGGGCGCAAGCCUGAUCCAGCCAUACCGCGUGGGUGAAGAAGGCCCUCGGGUUGUAAAGCCCUUUUGUUGGGAAAGAAAAGCAGCAGGUUAAUACCCCGCUGUUCUGACGGUACCCAAAGAAUAAGCACCGGCUAACUUCGUG